AGAGUUUGAUCCUGGCUCAGGAUGAACGCUGGCGGCGUGCUUAAGACAUGUAAGUCGAACGAGGGGCUUCUGUAGUAAUACGGAGGCUUCCUAGUGGCGAACGGGUGAGUAACGCGUUGGUGACCUGCCCCAAAGCGGGGGAUAACGGCUCGAAAGGGCUGCUAAUACCCCAUGUUGUCUCAAGGGUUAGAGGCCUUGAGACUAAAGGCGUAAGCCACUUUGGGAGGGACCUGCGUCCUAUCAGCUUGUUGGUAGGGUAACGGCCUACCAAGGCUACGACGGGUAGGGGGCCUGAGAGGGUGACCCCCCACACUGGCACUGAAACACGGGCCAGACACCUACGGGUGGCAGCAGUCGGGAAUAUUGCACAAUGGGCGAAAGCCUGAUGCAGCAACGCCGCGUGCGCGAUGAAGGCCUUCGGGUCGUAAAGCGCUUUUCGGGGAGAUGAGUAAGGACAGUAUCCCCGGAAUAAGGAUCGGCUAACUACGUGCCAGCAGCCGCGGUAAAACGUAGGAUCCGAGCGUUAUCCGAAUUCACUGGGCGUAAAGCGCGUGCAGGUGGUCCGGUAAGUUGGAUGUGAAAGCUCCUGGCUCAACUGGGAGAGGUCGUUCAAUACUGUCGGACUUGAGGACGGUAGAGGGAGGUGGAAUUCCCGGUGUAGUAGUGAAAUGCGUAGAUAUCGGGAGGAACACCUGUGGCGAAAGCGGCCUCCUGGACCGUUCCUGACACUAAGACGCGAAAGCUAGGGGAGCGAACGGGAUUAGAAACCCCGGUAGUCCUAGCCGUAAACGAUGUGAACUAGGCGUCGGUGGGGUAAAAGCCAUCGGUGCCGUAGCUAACGCGGUAAGUUCACCGCCUGAGGACUACGGCCGCAAGGUUAAAACUCAAAGGAAUUGACGG
rnacentral:rRNA from 1 species